CACUGGCCUGGCGCCUCCCGGCCGCCGUAGGCGGAGGUUUAGGCAGUGUCCCCGAGACCUCACCUGGGUUUCACCCAGGCUGCGGGGCGGUGGGGCCGAGGAGCGGAGAGGGGCAUAGGCCGAGCUCCAGGUCAUUCGUUCGUCCAUUCAUUCAUUCAUUCCUUGAGCUGACUCAAGAAUUGAGAUGGGUCGUCUGCGGAUCCUAGAAUGCCUCUGGAGAUGGUGAAGAGAUGGCCAAGCAGAAUUGCCAAGAACCUUGACUAGCAAGAAGCAUCCGUUCUUGUGGAAUCUUGCGCCUUUCUUCUGAUCACUUUCGGGAUUAAGACAACAAGGUGCUUCUACUUAUUGUGUUCUUUCUCGGGACAGCCUUAUUUCCAAGCUCACUGGGGAUCUUGAUUAUAUUUAUUGAGAAUUUACUCAUGCCCAGCACUAUGGGGACACGAUUCAGUCCGUAGAACCCUCUGAAAUGGCUGAUGAUAACUCAGAAUGGGAGGAAAAACCAAGAAUCAAUGACCCCUGGAAUCUCUCAGACAUCCUGUCAGCAAGCGUUUCGCUCUGUGCUGUAGAGGCACCUCUCAACGAGGACACAGCCACCACAUUCAUAAGAGCCUUCAGGAGAAAUCUUCCUUUAGAGCAGAACUGGAAGACGCAGGCUCUGCCCUCUGUGUGAGAAGAUAAAAGUCGAUCGGCUGGGGAAUGCUGAGGCAGGUCGGGGUGACGAGAAAAGGGCAGCAGUGAAAUGAAAAAGCAGCUCCUGGGGGUGGGGUUGGGAUUCUUCGUAAAACAGUCGCAUAACUUCUCCCUCCGCAGUGCCAACGCCUGAUUUCCCUUGUCGCGGGUCAGGGAGGCCGGUUUACAAGCAGCUGGAUAAGGGAUGCCGCGCAAUCACUAAAGAUGUUCUUUCUCGCUUUGGGUGAAUUGCUCGGGCAGAUCGCGCCCACUGGAGACGCACGCUGCCACGCAGAAGAACGCACACAGCAGUGGCUCCUGCCUCUGACCCCCUCCCUCCCUCGCUGAUGGCAAGUUCAAAUAAAGGGAGAAACCUGCCAUUUUUGCCGGCGUUCUCUCUUUAUCUGGAAAUGUCCUCGGGCCUGUGAAAUUAGGCAGUAACAUAGCAUGAGGCCGUCAUUAUUGCUAGACAAUCGACUGCAUAUCCCCGAGUGAAACAAAGGUGGUUACAGAACAGUAAAGUCAAUUAUCAUUUAUUAAUGGUGGUUACAGAGCAUAGCAGAGCAAUUUAUAAAUUGAAUUUUUAAAUUGAA